rnacentral:rRNA from 1 species
GACGAACGCUGGCGGCGUGCUUAACACAUGCAAGUCGAACGGAAAGGCCCUGCUUUUGUGGGGUGCUCGAGUGGCGAACGGGUGAGUAACACGUGAGUAACCUGCCCUUGACUUUGGGAUAACUUCAGGAACCUGGGGCUAAUACCGGAUAGGAGCUCCGGCUGCAUGGUGGGGGUGGGAAAGUUUCGGCGGUUGGGGAUGGACUCGCGGCUUAUCAGCUUGUUGGUGGGGUAGUGGCUUACCAAGGCUUUGACGGGUAGCCGGCCUGAGAGGGUGACCGGCCACAUUGGGACUGAGAUACGGCCCAGACUCCUACGGGAGGCAGCAGUGGGGAAUAUUGCACAAUGGGCGGAAGCCUGAUGCAGCAACGCCGCGUGCGGGAUGACGGCCUUCGGGUUGUAAACCGCUUUCGCCUGUGACGAAGCGUGAGUGACGGUAAUGGGUAAAGAAGCACCGGCUAACUACGU